CCUCCAAUCUGCUUCCUAGACUGAAGGAGUUGAGCAGCAAAGAGGGAGACUUCCUUCUCAGCAAGAACACAUUUAGAGAGCCUUCCUGGACCUACAGUAAGGAAAACAUUUUAGCAGAGUGAACCUAACACAGGGCUAAAGAAGUCUGAAGAAUCAGCCUGCUGAUUUUUGGCUUAAAAUCCAGCCAGGACAGACAUAAUCUAGAAGUCACAGGGUCACAGGGUCACAGGUGUUUGGAGAAAGCACCAAGUCACUCUUACCAAGGAAAGACCCCCCUCCCUCCCUUCAUCUCAGUUCUGGUUCCCUUUGACUCUCUGAGGGUAAGCUUCUCAGCUGGUAGGCUCAAAAAGUGCUGGAGCAGGAAGGGGUGGAGGUGUGUGUGUGUGCGUGUGUAGAUUAGUCACAAGCAAGCCAGGACACGUUCCACCAGCUUCACCCAUAUGGGUCAGUGGGGGAAGGACACCAACUCCAUAGCUUGCAACAGCAGGGCAAAAAGCACUGGAAAGAACAGUGCUUUGUGACUUGGUGUUGGUUUCCAAGUCCCCUUUAGGGACUUGUUUCUUCACCUAACAAGUCCUGAGUCAAGGAAGGUCUUUUUAAGAGGGCGAAGAGAAGCCAGUUUCUCGCUGGAUGCACGUGCUGUCUUCAGAGAGGAGAAGGAGGUCUAUUCGGAGGCCACACUCUUCGAUCACCCUAUCCUUGUAAGUUGAAGUUUUCAUAUGCCAGGCCAGGAAGGGUCACUUUUUAAAAGAUGUAGAAAAAUGAUUGUUCAAGCUCACUAGUCUAUGGAAGAACCAACUGGAGCCCGGGCUCCUUCACCCCCAUUUCUCCUGAAUACUUAGUUUACUGAACAGUUUGUGUAACUAAUGGCAUCCUUUGGCAGUCCAAUAAAACACGUGACCAUUCACCCCCCAGAAGGAGUGCACACAUUUUUACUUUCAGUAUUGGGAGUGUCUUGGAUUUCCUGAAGUUUGUCCUUGGAUAAAUCCCCACCAGUGGUUCCCUGGAGAACUUUAAGACCAGAGGAUGGAGUGUAAUUCAACAGGAUCUUGAUUGCAGCGGCACAGAUGGUGGUAUAAGGAAGGAAGACACACAGGGAAAAGGGGCGAUGUGCGUGUGUGUGUGUGUGUGUGUGUGUGUGUGUGUGUGUGGUAAUUAGCAGACAGCCAUGAAGCUAUUGUCCUGUGUUUCCCCUGUCCAUGGGGUGCUGGAGUGCUGGAGAAGACCCACUGGGUGUAUCUACUCUGCAAAACCUAGGGAUCCAGCUGAGCCAAGAAGCUCUUCAGCAUCCUUCCCUGGUCUGGCCCAGCAAGCUCACAACAGGGGCCCAUCAUACAAGCAAUAAAUAAAGAACCAAGCCUUCUGUCUACAUGAUCUGGCAGGGUAGUGGUGGUGGAAUUUCAAUCGGAGGGCAGAUGCACAGAAAUACCCUGUUUGCAAAGGUUCGGAUUAGAGGAAAAUUACAAUCAGCUCCGAAACGGUCUCCCUUCAACAAAUAUCCACCACUGGUCUACUGAGAGUCCAGGAGAACGACACGAAGUAUUUUUUUUUUUCCCCCUUAAAGCCGGUCCUUCUGCAGAGGGCUAUAUUUAAAGUUACCUUCUCGAGAAAAAUACGGUGCAUAAGAGUGAGACUCAGUUCGUUCCCUAGUUCGCGAGAUAAACGGAGACUUCUCUGCUGCGAUCGCUGCUCACACUUUCAGGUUCAGCUUCCGGAUCAGGGACCCGGCUGCAGCGAAGGCUGGCGUGAGGACUCCCGCUUGGUAAAGCUAGGAAAGCUAGGAGGGAAGUGCCCGCUGUGCAGAGGAGGAGGGCGCUCAGCCUGAGUGCUUCGGCCAAUCGGCGUGCACACCGCCUAAUGAUCGACCAAUCAGAGG